AUUGAACGCUGGCGGCAGGCCUAACACAUGCAAGUCGAGCGGACGACGGGAGCUUGCUCCUUGAUUCAGCGGCGGACGGGUGAGUAAUGCCUAGGAAUCUGCCUGGUAGUGGGGGACAACGUUUCGAAAGGAACGCUAAUACCGCAUACGUCCUACGGGAGAAAGCAGGGGACCUUCGGGCCUUGCGCUAUCAGAUGAGCCUAGGUCGGAUUAGCUAGUUGGCGGGGUAAUGGCUCACCAAGGCGACGAUCCGUAACUGGUCUGAGAGGAUGAUCAGUCACACUGGAACUGAGACACGGUCCAGACUCCUACGGGAGGCAGCAGUGGGGAAUAUUGGACAAUGGGCGAAAGCCUGAUCCAGCCAUGCCGCGUGUGUGAAGAAGGUCUUCGGAUUGUAAAGCACCUUAAGUUGGGAGGAAGGGCAGUAAGUUAAUACCUUGCUGUUUUGACGUUACCGACAGAAUAAGCACCGGCUAACUCUGUGCCAGCCGCCGCGGUAA
rnacentral:rRNA from 1 species